rnacentral:lncRNA from 10 species
CCAAGGGAGCGGACGGGCGGGGAGGAGGUGGCCUCUGCGCAGGCGCAGAGAGGAGCGAGCGACUCCUGCGCAAGCGCAGAGUGAAGGGCCGGGAACAGUGGAGGGUGCGAGGAAGACAAUGGGGGAGGACCCUGAGGCGGCCUCUGUGAGCCGACAGGAACACGUGGUCGAUCAGAGAGAGACUCGAGGUUCGUGAACGGAUGGGGAGGACCCUGAAAAGCACUGUGGAAUACAGGUUUCUAGUAACUUCAAAAUCACAUCAUUUGGACUGGCUUCUUUGGGAUGUCCGCUCUGCAUAUCUACUAAGGAAUUAAGAAAUAAUGGCUUCAGCAAGAAACAAGGCAGGAAAGUGCAGUGACAUGAGGACCAUACAGGGAAGGAGCUGUCCCCAAAGGUGAGAAUGGCCCUGGACAAGGGUUCUUGCUGUGACUUCACUCAGACCAGACCACCUUGACCUUUUCAUCACCGUGCCUCAGCGAAGUCAGUCGUUGAUUCUCUGAUCGGUUACUGAGAUCAUCAUGAAAUCUCCCUCGUACGAGAGUUGCAGAACUCUGCAGUGUCAAUCAUAGUGUUUGGGAGAGAGGACUUUCUACCUCCAUCCUUUUUCUGAACCUAAAUGGAAUGAAAAUUAGAACUGUUGCUUAUUCUUUGAGGUAAUUUCAAAUUCCCUUAUCCAAACCAGUGUUACAAAAGGACUCCAGUUUGCCCCCCAAAUCGGUCUAUUAAGAAUGUAAUGAUGAAUUUUCAUCCAAAUCCCACAAUAUGAGCUUUUCUAAAAUAACUCUAGAAACAAAUAUGACAAUAUUCCAAAAUUCCUGCCCUCAGACCUUAUUUUGUAUUAGAGUUAUCUGUGUAUCCAUUUUGUAUCCCCUGAAGCACGAUGAGCCACUUGAGGCCAGGUACAGCCAUGGCGUGUAUCCCAGAGCACCUGUGAGAAUGUCUCACAGACAGUCCGUCUCUCCUGAAUAUGAAGGGAUGGGCACCAGCCGGAGCCACCAUCCGUGUGACUGGCCCGUGGCCGCCUCCAGCUCACACAGAACCUCUGCACGCAACGGAAAAAGGUCUCCCCUGGGUGAAUGGGGUGGGAAACGUGUGCCCCUCCAGGCGGCUGGUGAGCAGAGUGCUCCCCUCGGCAGGGUGUGACUUGUACAGCUCCACCACGGGCCCUGUAACAAGACAGGCUUCGACCCUGCCCUCUUGCAGCUCGUAUGUAUGAGGGGCAGCCCAAUAAAUAAAUAAGCAAAU